AUGGAAAACAUCCAAGUGACAACAGUUGUGGAACUCUCUUGGUUGUAUUUCCAAAACACAGUCACAGUGGGAUAUGAGCUGCUCCGACCACCAGGUUCUGGACUUGGUGAACUUGUCUCUCAAUAUCCAAGCAGGGCGCUCUGCAAGAGUGGUGUCUCUGUUACAAUCCAGUGCAUCUCAGUGGACUUUCAGAGUUCAAUAAUGUUUUGGUAUCGCCAGGUCCCCAGUCAGCACCUCAGACUAAUAGCAUCUUCUAAUCCGGGUUCCAGUGCCACAUACGAACAAGGUUUUUCCAAGGAGAAGUUUCACAUUAACCAUCCAAACCUCACAUUUUCAUCUCUGAUGGUAAAUAAUGUGGAUCCUGAAGACAGUAGCCUCUACUUCUGUAGUGCCAGUCACACAGAGCUGUGCAGAGAUCAGAGAUCCAGGCAAGAACACAUGUAA